UACGUAGGGUGCAAGCGUUGUCCGGAAUUAUUGGGCGUAAAGAGCUCGUAGGCGGUCUGUCACGUCGGCUGUGAAAACCCGGGGCUCAACCCCGGGCCUGCAGUCGAUACGGGCAGACUAGAGUGCGGUAGGGGAGACUGGAAUUCCUGGUGUAGCGGUGAAAUGCGCAGAUAUCAGGAGGAACACCGGUGGCGAAGGCGGCUCUCUGGACCGUAACUGACGCUGAGGCGCGAAAGCGUGGGGAGCAAACAGG
rnacentral:rRNA from 1 species